AAAAAAAUACCCCCAAUUUUAUACCAAACAUUCAGAUAUACCUCGACGUUAUCCCCUCAAAACUCAAACUACAUUCAAAAAGUCCUAACUCAAU